CGCGACUGGCUCUGGCCGGGGGAAUCAUCGGGGCCUCCUGCUUCGGCUCCCCGACGGCCGACCUCCCCGAUCCAUCCAUGAUGUUUGUGCCAUGCCACUCAAGGGCCAAAUUCAACUGCGCAACUGGUGACUACGUGCCCUUUGAGGAUGUGAGGGCCGCAGAAUCCUCUUCUAGAUUAGGGAAGAACACAAAAGAACCCGCAUAUGUGGCGGCGGGUGGGAGGACUUUAUCAGACCGAACAAUCUCAGUGAGGGAGAUUUGGUCCGUUUUGUACUGGAUGGACCAGUGCCAAAGUUGUAGAUUUUCAUGGUUGCGCCACCGCCCAACCACGCUGAGCUAACAAUUGGGGCUGCUGUAUUUACCAAAUGCAUCAGGCUGACUGCAAACGAGUGUACAAAUCUAUACCAAACCCUGCUGCACACAGUGGAUUCAUUGGAGCCA